GCGCUGGUGGUGUAGGGGUUGGCGCGCGACCACGUGUAGAGGCUGUGGUCCUCGAGGCGGCCGUCCCAGGUUCGAGUCCCGGACCCAGCGACCU